AAGUAGUUGCUAGUAGCAACCAGUGUGCGUCUUGGAAGAGUGUUGCCAUCGUAUACGCUAAAAGCUGAUUGGCUCCGCCAUCUUUUGCUCAGAUUUCCGGAUUAAUUUGGAAGGGGUAAACAGAUGAUCAGUUGUUUAUUUUUCGUUUACUCUGGUUUAACCUCACUUAACUAGAUAGAUCGAGAAAUAUUAAAUUACUAUUACUAUUAUUCAGGUUGAAAAAUGCCUUCUUCUAAGGUAAAAGGUUGCGAAGUCGAUUGGGGAAAAAUAAUGUGAAAAUGAAUUCUUUCCCAAAAGAAUCUGAACGACGGAAAGUGUGGAUUAAAAAUAUAGGGUUAAAACAAGAUCCAAACAAAUAUGCUGUUGUUUGUGAAAAAAACUGUAAAUAGUAUUUAAGGCAACGAUUGUGAAUGAGUGAGAAGUCUAAUAAAGCCACGACGAGAUACUGUAUUAGAGCGUACGAUUUGGAGGUAUUUUUGAUUAGAUACAUUUUGUAAAGUACAAUAUAAAUUAGAUUUGAUAAUGUGUAGUAUUUCCUAAUAAAUUAAAUACUAUUAAGUGUUUAUUGUUCUUGUAAGUUAGUGUGGUAAAUAAAUAAUAUGAAGUAAG